GACGAACGCUGGCGGCGUGCUUAACACAUGCAAGUCGAACGGAAAGGCCCUGCUUUUGUGGGGUGCUCGAGUGGCGAACGGGUGAGUAACACGUGAGUAACCUGCCCUGGACUUUGGGAUAACUUCAGGAAACUGGGGCUAAUACCGGAUAGGAGCUCCUGCUGCAUGGUGGGGGUUGGAAAGUUUCGGCGGUUGGGGAUGGACUCGCGGCUUAUCAGCUUGUUGGUGGGGUAGUGGCUUACCAAGGCUUUGACGGGUAGCCGGCCUGAGAGGGUGACCGGCCACAUUGGGACUGAGAUACGGCCCAGACUCCUACGGGAGGCAGCAGUGGGGAAUAUUGCACAAUGGGCGGAAGCCUGAUGCAGCAACGCCGCGUGCGGGAUGACGGCCUUCGUGUUGUAAACCGCUUUCGCCUGUGACGAAGCGUGAGUGACGGUAAUGGGUAAAGAAGCACCGGCUAACUACGUG
rnacentral:rRNA from 1 species